rnacentral:rRNA from 1 species
AACGAACGCUGGCGGCAGGCUUAACACAUGCAAGUCGAACGGGAUCUUCGGAUCUAGUGGCGGACGGGUGAGUAACGCGUGGGAACGUGCCCUUUGGUUCGGAAUAGCCCUGGGAAACUGGGAGUAAUACCGGAUACGGUCGAGAGACGAAAGAUUUAUCGCCGAAGGAUCGGCCCGCGUUGGAUUAGGUAGUUGGUGGGGUAAAGGCCUACCAAGCCGACGAUCCAUAGCUGGUUUGAGAGGAUGAUCAGCCACACUGGGACUGAGACACGGCCCAGACUCCUACGGGAGGCAGCAGUGGGGAAUCUUAGACAAUGGGGGAAACCCUGAUCUAGCCAUGCCGCGUGAGCGAUGAAGGCCUUAGGGUUGUAAAGCUCUUUCGUGGGGGAAGAUAAUGACUGUACCCCAAGAAGGAGUCCCGGCUAACUCCGUGCCAGCAGCCGCAGUAAAAC